rnacentral:rRNA from 1 species
CCUACGGGGGGCAGCAGUGAGGAAUUUUGCGCAAUGGCCGCAAGGCUGACGCAGCAACGCCGCGUGGGUGAUGAAGGCCUUCGGGUCGUAAAGCCCUGUCAGGUGGGAAGAAAGGCCUGGAGAGGAAAGGUUUCAGGUUUGACGGUACCACCAGAGGAAGCACCGGCUAACUCCGUGCCAGCAGCCGCGGUAAUACGGAGGGUGCGAGCGUUAUUCGGAAUUACUGGGCGUAAAGCGCGUGUAGGCGGGGGGACAAGUCUGAUGUGAAAGCCCUGGGCUUAACCUGGGAAGCGCAUUGGAAACUGUUUUUCUUGAGUACUGGAGAGGAAGGGGGAAUUCCCGGUGUAGAGGUGAAAUUCGUAGAGAUCGGGAGGAAUACCAGUGGCGUAGGCGCCCUUCUGGACGGUAACUGACGCUGAGACGCGAAAGCGUGGGGAGCAAACAGGAUUAGAUACCCCUGUAGUC